GAAGACUGCGAGGCAAAGUGCACAGCCUGGCAGGAAAGCAGCUGGGUCAUGAGGUUGGUGCAGACGGAACAGCCUAGCCUGCUCCUGCCCUGUGAGCUGGGUGGGCGGAUACCAACCAGUGAGAACGAACAUGAGUGGCAGCAGUCACUGGUCAGUAGGCUGGGGUAGGAGUCCCAGACGGGGUCAGGGGCAGAACUGGACGGGAACAACACUUCUCCCAGGGCGAAGCUGCCUCUGUGCACGGCUGUAAAGAUCCCUUCUGUGAGCUGUUAGCGUUUCUUUCCUCGCUGAGAAACUCUGUGCUGUAAAAUCCCGCUCUCCAAAACUCUGCUGGUCGUCCGCUUCUGGGUACUGUCACGACGCUAACGAGGAUAAGCAGCCCGAGGUAAGAACUGAAAGGCCAGGAACAGGAACCUCCGCAUGUCUCCAUCCCUUGGUGAUAAGGCAAAGCACUCGCUGAGUCCGGAUCCCAGCGCCUCCUCCCUCUGACCCAGGACUCUCAACCCUAGCUGCUGCUUCCCACAGAACUUCUGGAGACCUACCCUCCUACUCCUCAGCCAGCGAGGUCGAAUCUCCUUUCCCUUAAGGACCAA